rnacentral:rRNA from 1 species
GCUGGAAUCGCUAGUAAUCGCGGAUCAGAAUGCCGCGGUGAAUACGUUCCCGGGUCUUGUACACACCGCCCGUCACACCAUGGGAGUCGGAAAUGCCCGAAGUCUGUGACCCAACCUACGGAAGGGAGCAGCCGAAGGCAGGUCGGAUGACUGGGGUGAAGUCGUAACAAGGUAAC